rnacentral:rRNA from 1 species
UACAGAGGGUGCGAGCGUUGUUCGGAAUUAUUGGGCGUAAAGCGCUUGUAGGCGGCACGUCAAGUCGCGUGUGAAAUCCCCAGGCUUAACCUGGGAAGUGCGCGCGAAACUGACGAGCUUGAGUGCCGGAGAGGGUCGCGGAAUUCCCGGUGUAGAGGUGAAAUUCGUAGAUAUCGGGAGGAACACCAGUGGCGAAGGCGGCGUCCUGGACGGAAACUGACGCUGAGACGCGAAAGCGUGGGGAGCAAACAGG